UCUGCACCCCCACCUGGCCUGGAAACCCAUUAUUAAGAAACCUCCCUGACAGUGUUUCCUCUUGUGUAAUCUUAGAUGGUCCACCUGCUUGUGACUUUCCAUCUCAUGAUGCUGUCUUACACACGUUGAUUGUGGUUUUUGAGUUCAAAACCUGCUCCCCCAGAAGAGUAAGGGUUGCAGUGGCAGCAGCUGCAUCUGUGUUGUAUCCCUGACUGCUCAGUUUGCUGUUCAAAUCAACAAAGUUUCUCUGGUUAAAGAACAACAACAACAACAACAACUUGGUGUGUUCCUGUUGUUGGAUUUUCACCAGACUCUCCGCACCAUCGCACACCAACAUUUUGGGGGUUUGUCCAGGAUCCAGAGCCCUGAUACAGAAGUGCAAUUUUUUGAAUUGGCAACUUCAGGGGAAACACUGGAGGCCUGGGAAUGCAUCUUCUGGGAAGCCAGGAAAUUGCUUCCUAGUGACAACAGUCACCCUUCAUAUGCCCAGAUUGGAACCCUAAUGAGGCAGCAGCCCAUGGUAACCUUGAAAGUGGAGGAAAAACCAAUGGACUUUCUGGUAGGCAUGGAAGCCAACUGAAGGAACCAAAGUGACUCCUAGCCACGAGAUGCAGCCUGGUGCUAAACAAUACCCCCAGUACAAGGAAAUGCCAUGUCAACCUCGAAAAAGAGAUGCUUAUUUCAUUAUACCUCUGGCCCUAAAAAGCCAACCCCUGUUUGCCUUUGAAUGGAUUGAUCUGGGCAAGGGCUUCAGCAGACAAUGGACAUGGAUCUGGCUAAGAUGAUGUUACUCCAAUAUGCAGAUGACCUCAUCAGGGCAGCCAGCCAACAUGGACACGUGCACAAUGGCCACUCAAGAGCUCCUAGGACCUCUCCAAUGCCUGAGAUACUUGAUGGAUGUGCACCAAGAAGGCCCAACUCUGCAACCGGAAUGCCACAUACUUGGGAUUCCAUGAAGGGAGGAAGUCCUAGUUUAUGUCAUGUGAACAGGAAAUCUUGGGUUGGCGAGAUGGCUCAACGGCUAAGAACACUUAUUGCUCUUCUGAAGGCCCUGAGUUCAAAUCCCAGCAAUCACAUGGUGGCUCACAACCACCUAUAAUGAGAUCUGAUGCCCUCUUCUGGUGUGUCUGAACUCAGCUACAGGGUACUUAUGUUUAAUAAUAAAUAAAUCUUUGAGCCAGAGUGAGCAAGUUUGACCAGAGCGAGCGGGGCCGAGUGGAGCUAGUAAAGGUCCUAAAAUUUCAAUUCCGAACAACCACAUGAAGGCCCACAACCAUCUGUACAGCUACAGUGUACUCACAUAAAAUAAAGAAAUCUUUAAAAAAAAAAAAA
ensembl:antisense